CUCAAAAUGGUUCAGUUUCUCUUUUGACCAUAGUGCUUUUCUUUAACAAUAUCCCUCUACCUUGACUAUUUGUGUUGAACUUUCUUUUUAUUUUAAAUUAUGUUUAUUUGUCAGUAUGUGGGUGUGUGCACAUGAGCACCCACGGAUGUCAGAGGCAUUGGACUCCCUAGAAAUGGGGUUAUCAGAAGUCGUAGAUUGCAGAGCAUAGGCUCUGGAAAUGAACUGGGAUCUCCUGGAAGAGUAACAAGUGCUUAUAAUAACUGAAUCAUCUCGACAUCCCCUGCUCUCUCAUCUUUAAACACACCCAUGGCCCACUAGAUCACAAGAAUUUCCUCCAAAUCUUGGCCUUGUUUCUAUUUCUAGACAGGUAGCUUUUUGAAUCACCGUUUAAUCAUAGGAAAUUUCUGACUGGGUUUAGGUUAGUCAUAACCAGAAGGGCUGUUACCCAAAGCAACUAAGGAUACAUUUGUCCAAGUGGAAAAGGAUUGGAGCGAAAUCAUGGUGAGUUUCAAAUGUUAUGGUGAAUAAGUUUAACUGGAAAAUUCUCAGACAAGGCCAGGAGCCAACCGAAGAACAAGUGGUAGAUCAGAGGCCCCAAAUCUAGAGUUACACAGAGCAGAGGAGGCUGGGAUGAUCGUUUUAGAACACUGAAGCCUCCUUUACCUCCCAUUGAUAAGUUGAAGACUGGCUUGUCAUCUGAGCACACUGCUUUCUUGGCUAGCCUAUCAAAGACAAGCUAUUUGCCAAAUGUGAUGGAUCAUUCCUAUAAUUCCAGCACUCAGGAAGUGGAUGCAAUAAAUUCAAGAGUUCAAGGUCAUCCUCUGCCACAUAACUAGGUUUAAGGCCAGCCUGACCUACACGAAGCCCUAUCUUACCCUGUCUCCCACAGAACUGUAGAAGCCACUUUUCUCUCCCUAGAGCUUAAGGUAAGGAAAUGGAGUUGAGGUUCUCCUUGCUUCUCUUGCGGCUUCCUGACCAUUACCCUAUUUCUGCCUGUAAUAAUCUCUUCUUCGAGUGGCUGCCAUCUGGCUAGACCAUCCUUGCCUCUCCUAGUUUGUUAAGGCCGGAGUCACUGACUCAGAACUUUCUUCUUCAUAACUCUGUCAUCAUGUUAGAUGAUGUCAGUGCUUCGGAUGCUCAGGUUCCUUGACUUCUCAUCUCUAAAGCUUUAAUCUAUGUCUUCGCCACCUGGUCAUUACCAGAAAUUGUGCUACACCUGGAAUUUCAGCUUG
rnacentral:lncRNA from 1 species